AUGAACGCUGGCGGCGUGCCUAAUACAUGCAAGUCGAGCGAACAGACGAGGAGCUUGCUCCUCUGACGUUAGCGGCGGACGGGUGAGUAACACGUGGAUAACCUACCUAUAAGACUGGGAUAACUUCGGGAAACCGGAGCUAAUACCGGAUAAUAUAUUGAACCGCAUGGUUCAAUAGUGAAAGACGGUUUUGCUGUCACUUAUAGAUGGAUCCGCGCCGCAUUAGCUAGUUGGUAAGGUAACGGCUUACCAAGGCAACGAUGCGUAGCCGACCUGAGAGGGUGAUCGGCCACACUGGAACUGAGACACGGUCCAGACUCCUACGGGAGGCAGCAGUAGGGAAUCUUCCGCAAUGGGCGAAAGCCUGACGGAGCAACGCCGCGUGAGUGAUGAAGGUCUUCGGAACGUAAAACUCUGUUAUUAGGGAAGAACAAAUGUGUAAGUAACUAUGCACGUCUUGACGGUACCUAAUCAGAAAGCCACGGCUAACUACGUG
rnacentral:rRNA from 1 species